UGCGGCUGCGGCGGCUGCUGCAACAGCGUUCCCGGCAGCGUGACUCACUUCCGUUACUCAGCGCGGUGAGCAAGCGCUGACUGGCUCGCGGUAAGAGCUGACGUCAUGAACCGGCCCAUAUAUGGGCAGUCAAGGUAACGAUUGUCCUUGGGCUGGAGGAAUAGUUUGUCUGCAUUAGGAGAGAAGUGUUCCUCGUGGCAUCCAGCCCCUCUCCCCCUUCUCUGGUCCCCUGUAGCGGAGCGUAUUCUAACAAAAGCAGACGGUGAGCAACAUAACCAUUCAUUUGGAGUCAUCCUCAUGGCCACUUGACGAAUGACUGUGCUGUGAGAGGCGUCGGGUGGUUCAGUUUACCGCGUGCCCCCGCUGGCCUGCGAUCGAAUCCUGCCCGAGCUCCUGACUCCCCUCAGUCUCCCCCUCUACUGUCUCAACAAUUAAAUCAGUCAAGGCAUGUUUCCCUUCAAAGUCCUGCGUGUGGAGGGGUGAGGAAGAGAGAAAUAGAGUCUGAGGAAGGGGAGAUGAGGCAACAGCGGCGAGGCUGGAGUGAAAUAGAGAUGCAAGGCUGCAAGUCAAGAGGGGAAGCACUCACUCAAGACUGAAGAAGAGGGGACGGAGAGAAGGAAUCAAGUUGGAAUCGGGAAAGAAACGCGGGAAAAGCUCCGUGUGUUUGUCGUGGCAGCCCUGCGGAGACAAAAGGUGUGUGGAUGUCGGUGCUAGUCAGGUGGGUAGGUAGGGAGCAGAAUAAUGGAAUCAAUACUAUUGUCUGUAACCUACCUGCCGCUGGGCUCUCUGUCUGGCCCCGACAUAGACCAUCAGAGAGAGAGGGAGCGGAGGGGGAACACAGAUUCACUCUGACCAGGAAAGAGAAGACAAGAAGAGGCUGGCUUUAAGGUGGAUUGAUGCCUAAAAUGCCCUCCUUGUCCUGCUCUUCGCCUUCUUCACCAUAACCAUAAGAAACUAAUUUAAUCUUAACUGGAAGUUGCAGAGUAUUAAACAGUCGUACCUCAGGAAUGAUCAAGGACUAAAGACAAAUGUCCCUUUUUCUGCAUGUAAGUUAUGUUAUAGUCUAUUAGUCUACUGCUACUAUCGUUCUUGCUCACUUAGCUCCGGAAAAGCUAUCAGACUCACAUAAGUGAAGAAAUUGAUAGUGCGAGCUCAACAAAUCAUGUUCAAAAUGCCCGUGACAUUUAACAACAGUUUGAAAUUAAUUGUUUCCCCUAAAUUAAUUGCAUCUCCUCCACAAUGUGCUCAACUACUGCAUCGCGGGGAUUAUUUGUUGCUCCUGUGAAAAAAAUGCGGCGAUGCAAAACAAAAGCAUAUUGUGGGUAUAAUGUGCCGUGAUUGUGUUUUAAUUGAACUGAUCAGCUUCGCUUCGGAUCUGCAGCAAACAAGGAGACCGGUCGGUGCUGCAGAAUCCAAACGUCAGAUGAGGUCAUGUCUUUGUCUGGGUGCAGCGACUCUGCGGUUGCUAUUUUUCAAUACGUUUCAUCUUGCUUGUUUUUUUUGUUUUUGUUUUGUUUUUACAUUAAGUUGCUCUGUAUUUAAACCAUCCCUGUGUAUUUUAAUUUCACAGUAUGCCCCUCUGUCCCUGAGACCCUUAACCUGUGAGGUCAAAGCAGGUCACAGGUGAGGUCCUCGGGAACAGGGCUGCAUUCAGUUUCAACGUCCUACAAAAGAGAAGCAUUUUGUGAAAUAUUUUAACCUGUGACGUCUGUUUUAAUGUUUCAUAUUUACAGCUUUGAUGCAACUUAGUAUCCAGUUGUAUGUCUCCAAUGACUGUUUCAGUGUGUUAAACCUGUCAUGUCAUGAUCGAGACUUGUCAGGUUGGACAAGAAGACGAUGACCCCUCCGCUUGCGGCACAAUCCGUCUCAGGGGGCCAACCCUAUUGGCUGGCUUUGUGUUAUAGCCCUCCGUGGGAGCCAAUAGGAAGACAGCCAAGGGUUGUGACCCCGCCAUACAUAUCGCCUUCAAAAACCAGUAGAGAUUUCUGCGUAAAUUUCCAUCUUGCUCUGUCUUGUGACUCUGUACCUGUAAUAAAAUAUGGCAAAGAAAA